UACGGAGGGUGCGAGCGUUGUCCGGAAUCACUGGGCGUAAAGGGCGCGUAGGCGGCAUGCCAAGCGUGUGGUGAAAGCCCGGGGCUCAACCCCGGGUCGGCCGUGCGGACUGGCGUGCUCGAGCACUGUAGGGGCGGGUGGAAUUCCGGGUGUAGCGGUGGAAUGCGUAGAGAUCCGGAAGAACACCGGUGGCGAAGGCGGUCUGCUGGGGUCGAACUGACGCUGAGGCGCGACAGCGUGGGGAGCAAACAGG
rnacentral:rRNA from 1 species